GAGUUGCAAAUGGGCUGAUUUUCUUCUACUUGAUGAAGCUCUAAGGACUAACACUUGGGAUCUAUUAGCAGCUAUGUUUUGCUUGUUGUAGAGUGCCCAUUUACAGUGCAUUAUAGGGAGCCUACUUAAGUAAUGUGCUGAAUAAUUCUUUAUAUGUUCUACUCAGAGACAGUUCAUGGAAAAUCUUUUAUAACUUGUCAGCGGGCCAUCACAGUAGGUGAUAUGCCGUCAAGUCCAAGAGGCUCACCAUUUCAACAAAACCAGGGAUCUUAAAAGCAAGUGAGUCCAACUGAUUACAUUUCUCACAUUGGAUUUCAUUAUGAAGAACAUAUAUCAGAAAAAGAAAAGAAAUAAUAUAGUUUACAACUGGUGAUCACCCCUACCUUGCUGAAUAAUCCUCCACUGAUGGCCACCGUGAACACGGGAGUCAGACUAUGUCCAUCACAUGGAUCAGAUUCCCCAGGCACCUCGUACAAUUGAGCACUUGAAUUGCAAAUCUCAACUUCUAAUGACAGCUCCUCCUGUCCAAUUUAUUUUAACUCUGAUAUCAACUAUUUCUCCUGUACCCCUUGUCUUAGAAUGCUUACAUUUUCAAUUUUUCAAUAAAAAUGCAUAAUCUUCCCCAGCAAA
rnacentral:lncRNA from 1 species